AGUGAACGCUGGCGGUAGGCCUAACACCUGCAAGUCGAACGGCAGCACAGUAAGAGCUUGCUCUUACGGGUGGCGGGUGGCGGACGGGUGAGGAAUACAUCGGAAUCUACUUUUUCGUGGGGGAUAACGUAGGGAAACUUACGCUCAUACCGCAUACGACCUACGGGUGAAAGCAGGGGAUCUUCGGACCUUGCGCGAUUGAAUGAGCCGAUGUCGGAUUAGCUAGUUGGCGGGGUAAAGGCCCACCAAGGCGACGAUCCGUAGCUGGUCUGAGAGGAUGAUCAGCCACACUGGAACUGAGACACGGUCCAGACUCCUACGGGAGGCAGCAGUGGGGAAUAUUGGACAAUGGGCGCAAGCCUGAUCCAGCCAUACCGCGUGGGUGAAGAAGGCCUUCGGGUUGUAAAGCCCUUUUGUUGGGAAAGAAAAGCAGCAGGUUAAUACCCCGCUGUUCUGACGGUACCUAAAGAAUAAGCACCGGCUAACUUCGUG
rnacentral:rRNA from 1 species